rnacentral:lncRNA from 1 species
CGCAGUCGUUUAUUGCGAUGACGCAACAGGUUUGGGCAGGCGUUUGUUGAAAACUUUUGCAAUUCAAGUCCACCCUGUUCGUCCUUCCUCUGCUCUGGUAAACAGCUUGUCGCCGUGCAUGAAGCUGUCAUGGAUUUAACGGCAAACAUGGGUUUUCUGUGUUUAUUUGCACAUUUGCUGCUCUUCCAUCGAGCUUUUGCGUCUGAAGACCAGUACACAGCGACGAUUGGGGAGGAUGUCACUCUUCAGUGUCGGGCUCCCAGAGAUGCAGUCGUCACCGUGCUGGAGUGGAGCAAACCUGACCUGAGUGUGGACGAUUACGUCUUCUUCUACCGCAACGAACGCUCAUACGAGAAGUACCAGCAUUCGUCUUUUAGGGGGCGAGUCACGCUGCGAGAGCCCUCCAUGAAGGACGGAGACGUUUCCAUCGUGCUGAAGAACGUCACCGUCAGCGAUGCUGGAAGAUACAAGUGCAGAAUUAUAAUGAGCAAUGCAGCAAGCAGCGAGAGAGUCUUAAGUGAGGAAAGAUCCCUCAGUGUCACAGAAGCAGAGCACACGGAUGAAGUCAGCGAGCCCGUCGGACGCGUCGGAAAAGCAAUUCGGAGCAAUGAGAAUCACGAAGGUGGACAGAGUGUUGCAGUCGGAGUUGGAGUUGGAGUAUUUUGUGUCCUUGUUCUUGCUGUUGGUUUGUUGGUCUAUAAAAAAACACGCAAAUCCCCCAUCAUUUUACAAGUGCUCUGAACUAGACAACGAAGCCCAGAAAAAUCAAAUAAGAUGAUUUGCUAAAAAAACUAAUUAGAAAACCUGAAUGUGAAAGACUGAGAAGCCUGUCUACAUGUAUAUAACAGUGUGAUUCAGCGUCUGAGAAAAGGGGACCAUGAAUAUUUCUCUGCUGUGAGAAACUAAAAAAGCAGAUGCAGGUCAUGAGACUGUCCACAAAUAUGUAGCAUUAAGCACUUUAUUCCUGUGAAACUGACCACUAAUCAAUUUAACAAUGACAGAGCAAGUUUUAUUUUUGUGUGUUGAUUGAGGAUGAAAGCUGUUUCUCUUUAAACCGUGGAGACUGGAGGUUAGAUUUUCAUGGGACUGUGGGUUUGUCAGAUGUCAGUAACCAUGACUACGACACGUGAACAUGGGGAUUUGUGGUUUCACGUGUCUUGUGAUUUGGUCUAAGCCAGAGAUCAUUUUUUAUAUAUAUAUUACUCAGAUAUAUGUACAUAUGUACACAUCUCCCUUUUAAUACUAAUGACAUGUGUAACACUGACUUUUAAUAAGAGUUCUCUUGUAAUGUGAAGCUUGUCUGUAAGUGUCUCAUGUUCAUGUUGAUCUUUCACUUUUGUUUCUUGGCAAUGACCACAGAUGUGACCCCUACGUGUGUACAGCAUUAUGUUCUGAUGUUAAUAAAACACGUUGACCAGCUG